rnacentral:rRNA from 1 species
GAUUCUGGCUCAGGAUGAACGCUGGCGGCGUGCCUAACACAUGCAAGUCGAACGAAGCACUUACCGUGAUCCUUCGGGUGAACGGUCUGUGACUGAGUGGCGGACGGGUGAGUAACGCGUGGGUAACCUGCCCUGUACAGGGGGAUAACAGCCAGAAAUGGCUGCUAAUACCGCAUAAGCGCAGGCCGUGGCAUCAUGGCUUGCGGAAAACUCCGGUGGUACAGGAUGGGCCCGCGUCUGAUUAGCUUGUUGGCGGGGUAAAGGCCCACCAAGGCGACGAUGCGUAGGGGUUCUGAGAGGAAGGUCCCCCACACUGGUACUGAGACACGGACCAGACUCCUACGGGAGGCAGCAGUGAGGAAUAUUGGUCAAUGGACGGUAGUCUGAACCAGCCAAAGUCGCGUGCGGGAUGAAGGCCCUCCGGGUCGUAAACCGCUUUAGCCGGGGAGUAACGUGCGGGACGUGUCCCGCAGUGAGAGUACCCGGAGAAUAAGCAUCGGCUAACUCCGUGCCAGCCGCGGC